GCCGGCUUAGCUCAGUUGGUAGAGCAGUUGCCUUGUAAGCAUCAGGUCGUUGGUUCGAUUCCGACAGCCGGCACCA
rnacentral:tRNA from 1 species